rnacentral:rRNA from 1 species
GAUGAACGCUGACAGAAUGCUUAACACAUGCAAGUCAACUUGAAUUUGGGUUUUUAACUUAGGUUUGGGUGGCGGACGGGUGAGUAACGCGUAAAGAACUUGCCUCACAGCUAGGGACAACAUUUGGAAACGAAUGCUAAUACCUAAUAUUAUGAUAAUAGGGCAUCCUAUAAUUAUGAAAGCUAUAAGCGCUGUGAGAGAGCUUUGCGUCCCAUUAGCUAGUUGGUGAGGUAACGGCUAACCAAGGCGAUGAUGGGUAGCCGGCCUGAGAGGGUGAUCGGCCACAAGGGGACUGAGACACGGCCCUUACUCCUACGGGAGGCAGCAGUGGGGAAUAUUGGACAAUGGACCGAGAGUCUGAUCCAGCAAUUCUGUGUGCAAGAUGAAGUUUUUCGGAAUGUAAAGUGCUUUCAGUUGGGAAGAAACAAAUGACGGUACCAACAGAAGAAGUGACGGCUAAAUACGUG